GUGUGGGUCUGUGACAGGGUCCAACAGGGCCUGGUCCGUGUCUGGUCCCCCAAAUCUGUCGUCCCUGCCCCCAGGGGACUGACUUCAAAGAAGGAAGGAAAGAAUCAGGCAGUGCUUCCUCAUUCUCUUUUAAAACCCGCUUCCCGCUGAGUCUGCACCCAGGAGACCAGAGAGCACCUUGCCCUUCCAUGGAAACUCAGGCCGAUCUCGUAUCUCAGGAACCUCAGGCCCUGCUUGACAGUGCUCUUCCUUCAAAAGUUCCUGCCUUUUCCGACAAGGACAGCCUGGGGGAUGAGAUGUUGGCAGCUGCGCUCCUAAAGGCCAAGUCCCAGGUGAGCUGUGGUUCCGUUUAUCCUUUUCCUUUCCAUUUUCUGUGCAAUGACAUCCCAUUCAGAGCUUUAAACCCUGAUCUCCUCCAUCAGGCCCAUGGUUCUGUCCUGCUGAAUCAUGGACCCUCACCUUCUAUCUUGGACUCCUGUCUCUCUUCCUCCACCCUGUCCUCCCUUCCUCCCUUCCCAAAUGUGCAUUUUUCACCCCAUCCUCAGUGAUUUUUUGGUGCCG
rnacentral:sRNA from 1 species